rnacentral:rRNA from 1 species
UACGUAGGCAGCGAGCGUUGUCCGGAUUUAUUGGGCGUAAAGAGCGUGUAGGCGGCUAGAUAGGUCCGUUGUGAAAACUGGAGGCUCAACCUCCAGCUGUCGAUGGAAACCAUCUAGCUAGAGUCCGGAAGAGGAGAGUGGAAUUCCUGGUGUAGCGGUGAAAUGCGCAGAUAUCAGGAAGAACACCCGUGGCGAAGGCGGCUCUCUGGGACGUGACUGACGCUGAGACGCGAAAGCGUGGGGAGCGAACAGG